AGUCAGUGUUUACAUUUUUAUGACUAUGUAAAUAUUAUUCAUGGAUGAUCAAUCUAGUGUACUAUGAUGGCAUUUCCUUUUAUUUUCUGUGUAGUUAAUAAUUGUCUCUUUUUUCCAUUGACUUCUCUAUAUUCCUGUCACCAAUUUGCUGCUACGAUUAUUAAUAUAAAUCUCCUUUCAGUACUUUCACACAAACCAGGUAUUCUGUUAGUUUGAACCCUCCUGCGUCUUCCAUUCUUAGUCUUCAGUUUGGCCUGGUUAAUCACUGUAACUGCUGCACGCUGUCAUCCUAGAAUCUCUGUACUGCCGUCUUGCAGGCACGUGUAGAAGAUUAAGUUCUGUGCAUCCAUGUGACUUGUUUGGGGCAGUGGAUUGUGAAACGAAGUGAUAUUCAUGCUUCCCUUGCCUGGGUGAUUGACGUGUGGAGAUGGAGGUGCCAUGAGCACUGGAGACACAGUCAGGAGGAAUGCUGCAGUGUGGGGGCCUGCUGCUUGGGGAGUCAUCCAGAACCACUUUGGACUUGGCUUGAGUGGGAAAUAAAUGUUUGUUUUGUUUAGCCACUAA